CUAACACAUGCAAGUCGAGCGAAGCGAUUUGGAGGAAGUUUUCGGAUGGAAUCCGAAUUGACUGAGCGGCGGACGGGUGAGUAACGCGUGGGUAACCUGCCUCAUACAGGGGGAUAACAGUUAGAAAUGACUGCUAAUACCGCAUAAGCGCACGUGACCGCAUGGUCGAGUGUGAAAAACUCCGGUGGUAUGAGAUGGACCCGCGUCUGAUUAGGUAGUUGGUGGGGUAACGGCCUACCAAGCCGACGAUCAGUAGCCGACCUGAGAGGGUGACCGGCCACAUUGGGACUGAGACACGGCCCAAACUCCUACGGGAGGCAGCAGUGGGGAAUAUUGCACAAUGGGGGAAACCCUGAUGCAGCGACGCCGCGUGAGUGAAGAAGUAUUUCGGUAUGUAAAGCUCUAUCAGCAGGGAAGAAAAUGACGGUACCUGACUAAGAAGCCCCGGCUAACUACGUGCCAGCAGCCGCGGUAAUACGU
rnacentral:rRNA from 1 species